rnacentral:tRNA from 1 species
CCUGAUGGCUCAGACAGUAAAGAAUCUGCUUGCAAAGCAGGAGACCCAGGUUCAAUCCCCGGGUCAGGA